rnacentral:rRNA from 1 species
CCAGGAUGUUGGCUUAGAAGCAGCCAUGCAUUCAAAGAGUGCGUAACAGCUCACUGGUCGAGUGGACAUGCGCCGACAAUACACGGGGCUAAGCUGGACACCGAAGCGGCGGGAUUUUGAUUUACAGAAUCGGUAGGGGAGCUUCCCAUGGGCGGUGAAGCCGCCGGGCGACCGGCGGUGGAGCGCAUGGGAGUGAGAAUGCUGGCAUGAGUAGCGAGAGACGAGAGAGUAACUCGUCCGCCGUGAACCCGAGGUUUCCUGGGCAAGGCUAAUCCUCCCAGGGUCAGUCGGGGGCUAAGGCGAGGCCGGGAGGCGUAGCCGACGCGCAGCAGGCAGACAUUCCUGCACCGCGCACGCGGCGCUACGACCGACGGGGCGACGGAUGGGGGUGGCUCGGCGGGGUUCUGGACGUCCCCGUGAUGGAGCGCGGCCCGCGGACCAGGGAAAUCCGGUCCGCACGAGGGCGAGGCUCCGGACGAAGCGAUUGAGCGAAGCGAGUGAGCCCGAGGUCCCUAGAAAAACCCCUAGGCAGGCGCGUGCGCGCCCGUACCGCAAACCGACACAGGUGGGUGGGUAGAACAUACCGAGGCGAUCGGGUCAACCAUGGUCAAGGAACUCGGCACAAUGGCCCCGUAACUUCGGGAGAAGGGGUGCCCGCGCGUACGUGAACGGACUUGCUCCGGGAGCGGAGGCGGGCCGCAGUGGAGAGGCCCAAGCGACUGUUUACCAAAAACACAGGACUCUGCAGAAGCCGCAAGGCGACGUAUAGGGUCUGACGCCUGCCCGGUGCCGGAAGGUCACGCGGAGGAGUUAGCGCAUCGCGCGAAGCCCCGAAGCCAAGCCCCGGUAAACGGCGGCCGUAACUAUAACGGUCCUAAGGUAGCGAAAUUCCUUGUCGGGUAAGUUCCGACCUGCACGAAAGGCGCAACGACUUGGGCGCUGUCUCGACCAUGGACCCGGUGAAAUUGCACUGGUCGUGAAGAUGCGACUUACCCGCGGAAGGACGGAAAGACCCCGUGAACCUUCACUGCAGCUUGGCAUUGGCCGCUGGUCCCGCGUGUAGAGGAUAGGCAGGAGGCAUCGAUCCGGAGGCGCCAGCCCCCGGGGAGCCGCCCUUGGAAUACUGCCCUCGCGCGACCGGCGUCCUAACCCGAGGCCGUCAACCGGCUCGGGGACCGUGCCAGGCGGGCAGUUUGACUGGGGCGGUCGCCUCCUAAAGGGUAACGGAGGCGCGCGAAGGUCCGCUCGGGACGGUCGGCAACCGUCCUUUUGAAUGCAAGAGUACAAGCGGGCUUGACUGCGAGGCCCACAAGCCGAGCAGGUGCGAAAGCAGGCUCUAGUGAUCCGGCGGCCCCGAGUGGGUGGGCCGUCGCUCAACGGAUAAAAGGUACUCCGGGGAUAACAGGCUGAUCUUGCCCAAGAGUCCACAUCGACGGCAAGGUUUGGCACCUCGAUGUCGGCUCAUCGCAUCCUGGGGCUGGAGCAGGUCCCAAGGGUUGGGCUGUUCGCCCAUUAAAGCGGUACGCGAGCUGGGUUCAG